ACUGCUAUCGAGGUUCGACUAAGCCAUGCGAGUCGAAUGUAGCAAUACAUGGCGUACUGCUCAGUAACACGUGGAUAACCUACCCUUGAGUUGGGAAUAAACCCGGGAAACUGGGUAUAAUACCCGAUAGAUCUCGACUGCUGGAAUGCAUCGAGAUCCAAAGCUCCGGCGCUCAAGGAUGGAUCUGCGGCCUAUCAGGUAGUAGUGGGUGUAGCGUACCUACUAGCCUACGACGGGUACGGGUUGUGAGAGCGAGAGCCCGGAGAUGGAUUCUGAGACACGAAUCCAGGCCCCACGGGGUGCAGCAGGCGCGAAAACUUUACAAUGCUGGAAACAGCGAUAAGGGGACCUCGAGUGCCAGGUUACAAAUCUGGCUGUCGUGAUGCCUAAAAAGCAUUGCAUAGCAAGGGCCGGGCAAGACCGGUGCCAGCCGCCGCGGUAACACCGGCGGCUCGAGUGGUAACCGUUAUUAUUGGGUCUAAAGGGUCUGUAGCCGGCCGGAUAAGUCUCUUGGGAAAUCUGGCAGCUUAACUGUCAGGCUUUCAGGAGAUACUGUCUGGCUCGAGGCCGGGAGAGGUGAGAGGUACUUCAGGGGUAGGGGUGAAAUCUUGUAAUCCUUGAAGGACCACCAGUGGCGAAGGCGUCUCACCAGAACGGACCUGACGGCAAGGGACGAAAGCUAGGGGCACGAACCGGAUUAGAUACCCGGGUAGUCCUAGCCGUAAACGAUACUCGCUAGGUGUCGGCAACGGUGCGACCGUUGUCGGUGCCGUAGGGAAGCCGUGAAGCGAGCCACCUGGGAAGUACGGCCGCAAGGCUGAAACUUAAAGGAAUUGGCGGGGGAGCACCACAACGGGUGGAGCUUGCGGUUUAAUUGGAUCAACGCCGGAA
rnacentral:rRNA from 1 species